rnacentral:rRNA from 1 species
UACGUAGGGUGCAAGCGUUGUCCGGAAUUAUUGGGCGUAAAGAGCUCGUAGGCGGUUUGUCGCGUCGGGAGUGAAAAACUCAGGGCUUAACCCUGAGCCUGCUUCCGAUACGGGCAGACUAGAGGUAUGCAGGGGAGAACGGAAUUCCUGGUGUAGCGGUGAAAUGCGCAGAUAUCAGGAGGAACACCGGUGGCGAAGGCGGCCGGCUGGGGGGUGACCUGACGCUGAGGCGCGAAAGCGUGGGGAGCGAACCGG